UGGUAGUAGUGGUCAAGUCUAUGUUUAUAAAAGUUAAAUGGAGUUGGAUUUGUUCCAUUGCAAACAAGCUUACAUGUAAAAAAACAUGAACCCAACAAUUGAGGAGCGUUCACAAAAAAAUGACGCAUUAAACGAGAAACAGAGGAGCGAUUUUUUUUAUUUUUCUUUUUCAUUUCAUUCUUUUUCUUUUUUCCUAGAAUAACAAAAAAUAGAU
rnacentral:lncRNA from 1 species